rnacentral:tRNA from 1 species
UCCUGGGUGGCUCAGUCGGUUAAGCAUCUGACUUCAACUCAGGUUAUGAUCUUAAUGGUUCGUGGGUUUGAGCCCCGCAUCAGGCU